rnacentral:pre_miRNA from 1 species
AUCAGCUGGGGAUCUUGUUAAAAUGCAGAGUCUGAUUUAGUAGGUCUGGGUUGGGGCCUAAGAUUCUGCAUUUCUAACAAUUUCCCAGGGGAUGGGAU